ensembl:lncRNA
CUUCGAGACAGGAGGAGUAAACCCUCAUGGUUCUUCUUAGAAGACAAACCCAAAGGAGCUGUGGGUUUGAUGGACAGGGAGCAGGGGAGCGUCAACACUGGAAGAUUGUACAUGGCCGGCAGGUUUCUCUCUUAUGCUAGCACGGACGAAAUGAGCUAGCGAAGCCCUUGCUGGCUGAUGCCCCACUUGCUGUGCAGGGCAAUGGAGACCUUCACCAGGGAGGCAGCUUUAGGGAAAGGAAGACAAGGGAUUGUCCUGUGGCCUCUGCAGCUUGACUUUAGUACCUGACCUGCUGUUGCCACCUCUCUGAAGCACUGGUCCUUAUAUUCUUUGAGACCAAAGACAGAGCCAGGAUGACCAAGAGCAAAUAUGGAGGACCCCCCGACAAAGCACCAAGCAAGAGCAGGUAAAUCCACGGUUUAAGUAGAGUACUUACAAAGUGGUGUGGCAGCAGCUUCUUCUCAGCUAAAGUGC